GUCAAGAUACAGAACAUUUUCAGCACCCCAGAAAAUUUCCUCCUUCUUUACACUUCUGGUCAGUUUUCAUCCCACUUCCAACCUGAAGGCUGUGGAUGGAAUGUCUUGCAAAUGGAGUUGACUUCAUAUUAGAAUUACCUGCAAACUCCACAAACAAUAGAGAAACUGAGUCCUGAAAGGUUGCAACAUCCUCGAAGAACUAAAGUAGCAUAUGGCUUAUUCAGGAGGUAAAGAUGAGAACAGCUUCUAACUUGGUUGGUGCCCUGUUGAAGAAAAAUGCUUUUGCUCAGCUUGGAAUGAAAUGCAGAUAACCCUUCAGAAAACUUUUGUAGGAAAGCACCUCGUGUGAUCUGGAACAAAGACAUUAUAUAAUCAGAUUUAUCAAGCUGUGAAGAGGCAGUGUUAGCGAACAGAAGCAGCAUUCUGUCACCAGGAAAUACUGCUUUAUCCAGAAUUGAGCUCCUGUCCAGAAGCUCUGCUGAUCAUCUAACUGCUGGAAUGUGUAGGUGCCC